UUCACCUUAGUAUAAGAUGUACGAGAAUUUUUGGUAUUCUGGGGGAUAGUUUAAUUCUAUCAGGUGAAU
rnacentral:tRNA from 1 species